ensembl:lncRNA
ACGGAGGAAGGCUCUCUGGUUGGAGAUUCUUCCCUUGUGGAGUUUUCCCUGUGAGCCUAAAUCUUCAGAGAUGGAGUGUUUCAGAAGUGGCUUCAGACAGGCUGUGUUCUGGGCUCCAUUCAUUGCAAGGCUUGGUGUAUUUUACCUAACUGGAGGCUCUGACAGACAAGCACUGAUCCAUCCAAGUUAAGUCAGUCAAGGACCCAACUCAGUAAAGCCACAGACGCCAAGAUUGCUCCUGCUGUCCUUUUGCUAAGCUUAUUGCCCUCAGAACAGCGUCUGUGCUUGAGCCUUGCACAGUGUUCAAGCUUGCAGGAGUUGUACACUGUGAUCCUUGGGAUUUUCUUCCAACGUGGGAUAUUCUGUAUCUGAUUCUCUCUGAGACAAGGAACAGGUGAAGGGAUCAAUACGACACCCUGUGCCAAAUCCACCAGUGAUUUUGUGCAUGUUUGUCUAAUUUAGAGAGCAAGUACUGAAAAAGUAUUAUGUUUUAUGUUAAUGUAAAUACAAGUAAGGAACAACAAUGCUCAUCUGCUGCAUGCUCCUGUGAAAGUCAGGGACUUGGGGUCUUUUAUUGUUGUUUUGUUGUUGUUUUUACUUCCAUGGUGUUUUAUUUGAUUAAAAAUAUCGGUUUACUUCCUUUUUAUUAGGCUGCAAAGUCUUAACAAUGUGCAUAAAAAUUAUAUAGAAUCUGUCUAGAUGUUUCAGAAAUAUUGUAUUGUAGCAGAUGGCCAUUCAGAGAGUGACUACUUUUUUGGAAGCUUCUCUCUCUUAGAGCAUCAGGAGCCAAUUUUAGUGCCUGGGGGCAAGUUAGAAGCAAGACAAGUAAUCUUUGACACGGAGCUUUUGGCAUGUAUGAACUGCACAUAGCAGCAAUCCUUAAGCAAUGACAAAGGAAAUAAGUAUUUUUAAACCUCAGUGUGGGUAAAUAAAUCCAGCUAGCACAGCCUACAUAUAAGGAGUAGGAAGCAGGAUAGUAUUAACAACUAAGGAGCUAUAGUAUUACUUGUAGCUGGUUUUUGCUUGUUUUGUGGUUGUGCAUGGAGCUAUCUGACUAAUCAGAGAUGAUAAGGAGUCACAUUUUGUGGUGUACUUAGCAGGAAAUGAAGUCAUCUGCAUGCAUGAAAACCAGCCGGAAAGUGUUCAGACAGGGAUUUCUGGGUGGCUGAUGAGGUCAAAGGUGGGAACCAAAUACAGUCAGAUUUGAUAAUGCUAGAACAGCACAGAUUGUUUUGAGACUCUCUUCCCCAACAGAAGAUGAGCAGGGGCUAUGAAAUUUGUCAUUUUGGCUCUGUUGUAGUAAAAACAGUCCUUAAUUUCUUUAGAGAGAGGCAAAAUAAGUCUAUCUGGAAUGCACUUUUGAGGUUGGAAGCCAGUUCCAGAAAGAAUUUAAGGAGCUCAGUGUGAGAUUGUCCUUUUGUCACUCUUCAAAAGAAAAAGAAAACAACCUGCUGGGGGUAUUGGGAUCCUUACUCUGUAAGACAGGAAGAACCAUUUAACCUUCUUAACCAUAAACCUUCUUGUAGGACGUUUAAUAUUUUUUUUACUUCUGCUCUUCAAAAAACGAAACGAAAAACCCCGCAGAAUCAGAAGUUGCAUGCAAGAAAAUGAUCACAUUUAAGCAUAGAUUUAAGUAGAUAAACCUUUAUAUACAGUGUCUAUGAAAUGAAAAUCUGCCUGCUUUCACUUGUCAUGUAAUUUACAGAAGCUUUCAGCUCAUGUUAUUCAGCAGAGCAACUCUGCUGGAGGUGAUGAAAGACUAGUAAACUACCAGCUUUAUAAGUUUCUCUGAUGUUGUUAAAUGUGAAUUCUGAAUUUAAAGCUAGUGAGAGUUAAGGGAUUGCUGAGCAACUGUGGAAGGACUCAAGCAUUUACGUUAUAAAAGCUCUUGAGAUCUCCCUGUGGAAAACUUCUAUUGUAUCAGUUUGGAAAGUAGUCUGAAGUAUCUAUCCUGACACUCCUUCAGUGGCUGAAUUUAGACUGUAAGUGCAUCACUGAAACUGUUUUUCAGUAUGUGAAACAUACACAGAUAUCCUUCAAACACAGAUGGAACACAGGAAGAAAUACACUACACAGAUCUUGCCUUGAUUUUUUUUUUUUUACUUUGUUUGUUUGUUUUGUGGGGAGGUUAGUAGUCAUGUUCUACUUUAUUUACAAUUGCGGAGGAUUCAGUUAUAUCAAAGGGAAGACCCCAUUCUUUAUAGCUGUGAAUUAUUGAAGAGAGAGGCUCUGCCUCAGGGAACAUAUGCAUAUGCAAGUAAAGUUAACUUUUUGCUUAAAAUCAAAAGAACUGACUUGAUGCUGUUAGUAAGCAGACAGUCAAGGAAGGCAGUCUAGGUUUUUAGCAGCCCAGUUCAAUGCCAGUAAGUAGAUGUAGUAAGUAGAUGCUGUUGGGAUGAAGAUGACAUAACCCUUAAAGACAGAAGAGUUUUGCAGAUGAGUGUAGUUCUUGUAGAGGCAAGCUGAGAAGCUGAGUAAGCAAGUAAAAUAAAUGUCAGGCUGUUAGUUCAGAGACCUGUGUGAAUGGUGUUUGCUAAUACAGAGGUCGCAUAUUGCAUCUCAGUCCCCUUUUUCCUAUCGUAUUCCUUAAGACUGACUCUGGAUUCUGAGCUUUUGAAAAGUGCAGGUAAUUUGCGGAAGGAAAAUGAAUUGUAUUCAACAGAGGAUUGCUAUGGGAUCCUCCUUGAUUUCAAACAGCCACAUUCUUUCAAGUUUGGUAAUGUACUUAGUGAUAAUGAAAGCAAGUAGCUCAUUGUGUUGGUAUGAGCAAGGUGUAAUGCAAAUAGGCAUUGGGCAAGCAUUGUCAGACUGCCAAAGCAAAUUAUUUCAGGUUAAUCCUGGCCCUCUAUAGGAACAGAUUUAUAACCAAGGAGAAGAUCCUUGUCUGAAAGCCUUACUGUUAUUAUCUGUAGCUCUCCUAUCUGGAGAUCUUCCCAGAGAGCAAAACGUAUUACCGGUUUCAGGGCAGGAUCCCUGCUAUAUCACUUUGACAGAGCCCAUGUAAGUACUGAUCAGUUGAUUCAAUGCUUAAAACCAAGCUUAGCCUUGCGUUUAGAAGCUUCCCAAGAUGAAGGUCUAGCAAACCAUUAGGGCCAAGCAGUUUCCCAAUGGUGCACAUUCAGCAUCCCCUUCUUAGACCCAGAGUUCUCCAUUGAUGGAUAUGGAAAAAGCUCAGAUAAGAUAAAAACAUUUCCUGUCAAUCAAUACACUUGCAGCCAGCAGGCAGACUGGAAAAAGAGUUUUCUGGACUAGAGUCACUAUUAUGCCGAUAUCUAUGUAAUAGUGAGCUGAAGGCUGUGUUGUUUAAAAACAUGAUUCAGUUGAUAUCAAGAAGUCUUAGAAUUAAUGUUAAUGUCAAGCAGAGAAGCAUUUUGUAACCCUGACUUGCUCUUCCGUUUGGUCACAUCACUAACCCCUCUGCUUAUUAUCAGUGCCUGAACUUGUGGAAUCCCUGGAGCUGUAAUAAAAAAGACCUGUUGAGCAU